ensembl:lncRNA
CCUCAUAUAUUUCAUUUAUCUGAUUCUACUUCUUCGAAACAGUCCUCAGCCCUGCAGACUGAUUAGAUCCUAAUUCUUUUGGCAUGCUGUCAACUUGUCCUAGUCAGAAUAACUAUUAGGACUUUGCUUUUGCUACUCCUCUGCAAUUUUGUUUCCCUUUCGGUGCCUCAUGUCUUUUCUUUGUGAUUUUCACCUAUUUUGCCUGAAGCUGUCUUCUGACAAUAUGUUACCACCUCUCUCUGCGGAUUUGUUCUUUGCCUGCCCAAGUAAUUUAUUUAUAUGUUAGCUUCCUCUUCACCAUUAUCCAGGCUGUUUGACUUUGUGUGUAUUGCUUUUCAUAGUGCCUCAAAUCUCUAGGAUGUUAUUAACAAUUUGAAAGGCUUUUGUAGUUUUUAAUGCAACAACUUAAUCAUGCUGACUGGGUGUUUUUAAAUGACUGAAAUUCCUUGUGCAUACACACUGAGAUAACACCGUAUGCAUGCCUGUAACAGCUGUAGAACUGAACAUAGGCUCCAUUAAGAUUUUUUUUUUUUCUCUUGGCAGUUAAAUGACAUAAUAAAUUACAUGGCAAAACAAAUAAAAAUCAGUCCCUAGAUUGUGACGUGCUGCUAUUUAUAUAUUUUCAUUAUAUAUAUAUUAAUAGUGAAAAAAAUAGAGAAAAGGUGGGAAAUUCUGUUCAAUUUAAACAGCCCUUCAAAGCCUGGUACUUGAAUGUGACGGAAAUCUCCUCCAAUGUUUUGUCCCUUAACUAAUAUACAAAUAAAUAAACAAAAUAAAAAGAAAAGAAAGGGAAAGGGAAGGGAAGGGAGAAGAGAGGAGAGGAAAUAAGAGAAUCAUAGCCAACUCAGGUUAGGGUUUCUGUUUCUUUUCAUUAGUUUCUCUGUUGAAAGUAUGAUGUAGACAGACAGCAGAAAUUCAACAGCAGAGAUCAAAACAAACCCUAUCUUUAUUCUCCUUACACUGAAUUUGCUAUCAUGGUGGAUGGAGCUACUUACUCUCAUAUGUGUAAAAUGUUGAAGGCACAGUAAUUACUUUUUUACUAGAAAACUGGUACACACUGCUUUCCUCAAGCUUCUUGUUACCAUAAAUUCUGUUUUUUAGUUAUUCUAGACAAUCUUUUUUUUUCCCCCUUGUUUUAAGAGUUAAAUAUGAUUUCAUGUAUGCUACCUUUCUAGUAAAAAACAUCCAAGCAGCCACAUAAGGGACCAUAAGUUCAACCUAAAUUUGUGAGUUUUGUAUGGGUUUCUUCUAACUUACCCAUAAAGUGAUUCCUUUGGGCAAGAUACUCUGUUUCCAAUCUUGGCAAAGAAAAUGAACAAAAAGCAAUUUUGUCUUGCUGUAUCUUGUUUUCUCUCUGUGGAAUAGAUCUGAAAAGAUGGCGGAAGCUUGACCCUGAGGCAGAGGCUGGCCCAAAGUUGCAGAUCUUGAGAUCAAGCUCCCUAAGAGAUGACCAUCUUGAGCAGACCACUGUGUGACCUUGAGCUGCCGCCUGGCAUUGAGUUUCAAUUCAUUCAAGAGAGUACAGUGCAUAAAGGGCACAGAUUCCCCUUGAUCUUUUGGUCCAGAAGAAAGGACCUAACAUCCCCUCAGUAUGGUAGAAUGCAUGAGUGUGGUAAAUAUGUGGUAUCCUCAUGCAAGAUCGAAGAGCUGUCAUUCUUCAUUCAGUAUGUGCUGUCAGUAAAGAAAUUCUCAUUCUUCUUUUGAAUUUUCCAACCAUUUUGUGGGAUGUAUGACUCCCAAGAGGACAAUCAGUCUUUUAAACUCUGCUAGCUGAAUUUUUUAAUGAUGUACUUCAGAUUAAGUUACUGGUGAAUAUUUUAAUUGUCUUCAGUAAUUUUCAGUGUCAGUGGUACUAGGUCUAUUGUACCCACGCAAACCAGUGCAACUGGUUUCUCUUAAAGUGACUUAAAGAAACUGAACAUGGAAAAGAACUGAAAUAUAGUUCGGAUUUAUCAUUUAAAAAUUAAUAAAUAAAUCAUUAGUGAUCUUUCCAAGACAGAACAGGUGAAAACUAUUUCCACUACAGGAAGUAGAUUGAAAAAAUGUGGAUAAAUAUAGAAAUUGUGGAAGAUGUCCAACUUGGAGAACUGCCAAAGCACUAAAAUUAAUACAUGUUAUAUGAGUUGUUGUGAAAUUGAUGUAGCCAUACACUGUUGAACUAGAUGAUCCUAGUGAUCUUUUCCAACCUUAAUUAUUCUGUGUUCAUCAAGAAAGUGAUUUUGUGUUUCCUUCAGAGCAUUAAAUAUCCCAGUUUUAAUUGAAUAUAUGAUAUGGAACUCAGUGAGCACUUGAAAAGUAUGUUAAGAAAUAUAUUUUCUGAUAUAUGCCUUUUCAUUUCAAAGAAGAGAAAAUGUCUGGAAGAGUCAUUUAUAUGUAGUUUAGAAUUCUAGUUGAAUGAUUCCUUCCCCUUUCCUGAAAUUUAUAGGGACUGCAAAGGAACAUUCCCAUCCUUAGCAGUGACCUUUCUUAAUUUGUCAGCUGGUAAGAUUUUUAACCUGUGAUUGCAUGGAACAUAGUAAGUACAAAUGAAAAGUAUUCUCAGUACUUAAUUACAUUAAAACAGAUAAUACUUCUUCAGAAAAAAAUGUUAAGCUCUCACAAGAAGAUGCAAGCCAUUAUAGGAAAAAAAAAAAAAAAA